UAUGAAGAUGGUCCUACUGUGAUAUUUAUGAUCUCAUUCAUCCUUAGAGUUGAUUUAAUCAAUUUGGCUGGCUGUGUUAUUAUCUACUUUCUUCAUCAGAGCAACAAGUGAGUCCAUUUCUGUUCUAAACUGACAACUGUCACAGACAAAUGAGGGACUUUCCUCACGGAAGUAUACAUAAAUAUAUUCUUAAGCCUCAGGUGGAUGCAAAGUUUCAGCCACAAUUUCUUUUUUCAUUAAUCUGUAUAACUUGAAUAUUGA
rnacentral:snRNA from 1 species